UACGUAGGGUCCGAGCGUUGUCCGGAAUUACUGGGCGUAAAGAGCUCGUAGGUGGUUUGUCGCGUUGUUCGUGAAAACUCACAGCUUAACUGUGGGCGUGCGGGCGAUACGGGCAGACUUGAGUACUGCAGGGGAGACUGGAAUUCCUGGUGUAGCGGUGGAAUGCGCAGAUAUCAGGAGGAACACCGGUGGCGAAGGCGGGUCUCUGGGCAGUAACUGACGCUGAGGAACGAAAGCGUGGGUAGCGAACAGG
rnacentral:rRNA from 1 species